GAUGAACGCUGGCGGCGUGCCUAAUACAUGCAAGUCGAGCGAACGGACGAGAAGCUUGCUUCUCUGAUGUUAGCGGCGGACGGGUGAGUAACACGUGGAUAACCCACCUAUAAGACUGGGAUAACUUCGGGAAACCGGAGCUAAUACCGGAUAAUAUUUUGAACCGCAUGGUUCAAAAGUGAAAGACGGUCUUGCUGUCACUUAUAGAUGGAUCCGCGCUGCAUUAGCUAGUUGGUAAGGUAACGGCUUACCAAGGCAACGAUGCAUAGCCGACCUGAGAGGGUGAUCGGCCACACUGGAACUGAGACACGGUCCAGACUCCUACGGGAGGUAGCAGUAGGGAAUCUUCCGCAAUGGGCGAAAGCCUGACGGAGCAACGCCGCGUGAGUGAUGAAGGUCUUCGGAUCGUAAAACUCUGUUAUUAGGGAAGAACAUAUGUGUAAGUAACUGUGCACAUCUUGACGGUACCUAAUCAGAAAGCCACGGCUAACUACGUG
rnacentral:rRNA from 1 species